rnacentral:rRNA from 1 species
AUACGUAGGGGGCGAGCGUUGUCCGGAUUUACUGGGCGUAAAGGGUGAGUAGGCGGUUAUAUGUGUCAGAUGUAAAAGGCUAUGGCUUAACCAUAGUUAGCAUUUGAAACUGUAUGACUUGAGUGCAGGAGAGGUAAGUGGAAUUCCUAGUGUAGCGGUGAAAUGCGUAGAUAUUAGGAGGAACACCAGUGGCGAAGGCGACUUACUGGACUGUAACUGACGCUGAGUCACGAAAGCGUGGGUAGCAAACAGGAUUAGAUACCCUGGUAGUCCACGCUGUAAACGAUGAGUGCUAGGUGUUGGCCAGCGAUGGUCAGUGCCGCAGUAAACACAUUAAGCACUCCGCCUGGGGAGUACGGUCGACCCUCGGUAC